UUCUAUAAGAGGAUGAUGCUUGGGGAGAUUUUGUGCUUUCUAUUUGCAAUCUCGUUGUGAGUCCGUUGUGCUUUCUGUGUUUGGUUCAUCUCUCUUCUGAGUUCUAUAAUCCUUCCAUUUCAUCAAACCUAUUUGUUGCAAUGGCUCCUCGUGCUCAGAGUAGUAGAUACUGCAGAUAUGCUCUUAGAGCGUGAGGCUGUGAAAAUGGCAGAUGGUGGGAAGGGUUUCUGGCCUCCUAUGCAAGUAGCGAGGGGUAAAGGCGGUGAGUUUGAUGCCGUGGAGGAAGAGGAGAUGAUGUGUUUGUAUGGUCGUAUGGAUUGUUCACUAUCAUUCCAGUGUCACAAGCUGAGGACUGAUCACUCAAAGUCACUGGUAAACUACUAUGACUGGGCUGGAGAACCCUAUGUUUUUCCUGUUACUUUGUGAUGCCGGUCUUCUCCGUUUCAUCAACUACUUUAUGGAUCUCCCCGACAAGGAGGGGGUCAGUUAUAUGAAGCCUCUUCUAGAGAAUUGGUGUUUCCGUAUUCACACCUUGUGGGUGCUUUUGGCAAAUUUGGCAUCACCAUCGAAGAUGUUGCUGCUCUCUUGGCCCUUCCAGUAGGAGGAACGAUAUCCGUACACCAUUUAUAGUUUGCUAAAUCGAUCCUGCCAAUCUGUCCGCUUGUGCGCAGAACCCACAGAGGAGAUCCGUGUUUUAAAGUCUCAAGUGGAUGAACCAUCUGCCCAUGGGAAGAUGUCAUUAGAAGGGUGGAUAGCGUACUGGUAUGAGAGCAAGGGUUCGGAUGACAUCAUGGUUUGAAAGGGGAACAGCCAGUGUCAUCUUAUUUCCCGGUGUCCCUAACUAUGGCCUUCGGAUGGUUUUGGGUUCUCUUGUUGUUCUUGCUACUGGUGGCCAUCAAUUGCCGUUGGCUUCUAUGUUUUUGGGCUUCCUGUUCAACUAGAUGGACUACACUGUCCAUCAAAUAAUGGAUCCAAGCUACAAGCGGCGUUGCAAUUACAUCUUCUCUCCUUUUAUCUUUAUGUUUAUCUAUGACCAAUUUCAACUCAGUGUUACUCCCCGUCAGCUAUCUCCUUUAAUCGUUACCAUUGCGACUCUGGAGGGUGAUCCAGCCAAGGAACAGUCUCUGGGUGUUUACCGAGGGAAGCAGGGGCUCAGCGCCAAGAGGCUUAGACAGUUUGGUGUUGUUGAGAUCGAGCUGAAACUGUCUUUGCCCGAGGUAUUGUUUGGUGGCCGUAUGUUCAUCUUGUCCGUCAUUCCAUGCCAUUCUGUAUUGCUGCUAAUGUUCCUGAGGAUGGCAAUCAACAGUGUGCCAUCGAGGCCGACCAUCCUCUUGCAUGUGUUGUGCAGCUUGUUCUCUGGCCUGACGUCAUCGCAUAUAUGGGUCGUGCCGGAGAGGCUCAAGUGACUACCUACCGACUUGACCGGUUACUCCACCAAUUUGGUUAUGAUGACAUGGGAUUGAGGUUUGUAAAUCUAUGCUAGAGAGGCUCUGCAGGUGAAGAUGUUUUCUGGAGUCGUUGAAAUAGCCUGGCUAUUCCUGGUGUCACUUGUUUCCCUCUAGCCGGUUUCAAGAGGGUCGAGGUUUGUAAAUUUGUGCGAUGGAUUUAUCUUUGCUCUCUUCUUGGCAGGCUGCAACUAUUCAUGGUUGCUGAUCCCCUCCCUCAUCAUGUUAUGGCCCCCCCUUUGGGUCAUGCAGCUAAACAGGGGCAGGAGGAGGCCCCUUCCCAAUCUAAUGCCCUUUAGGUUGAUGUAGAGGAGCAGGAGUUCUUGGGCGCUGUUCAUAAAGGUAAGCACCCUACUGUUGAAGAGGGUGAAGGCAGUCGUCCUACUGCCUAGAAGAGGUCCAGGACAAGGUCUUUCUGGCCAAUAGUAUUGMGGCCAUUCGUGAAUCAUAGUCUGACAUUCUGGCAUCCCAUGCAAAUGAUCAUCCUAUUGGAAUUGCUCGACAGGAGCAUUCUGAGGGGGUUGUACUGGAUCUCUCAAUUACUUCUCCUAAGGUUGGGGAGGCAAUGGAUAAGGAAUCGGAUCAAUCAGCGGUCCCGGUUCCUCCUGCUGUAGUGGUUACAAUUCCAGUCGCCGAUGGGAGAGUGAAGAAGAUGGCUCCCUAUCCUUGGAGGAAGGAGUCAGAAAAUUCUGGAUUAUCAUUUGUGUUAAAGCAGGUAGAUGCUAUGAGGCUCACCCUGAAGCUGGAAUCCCGCAAGUUACAUCCGAGGGUAUUGUGGGUGAAGAGGGAUUUUGUGAUGUGAGUUUUACGGAUGUCUCAGCGGCACCGAUGAUUAGGUGUUUGGUGGAAGGUUUGAAGUCUUUGCAGCCUCCUACUAAGGGGUAGAAGGCACCUCAGAAGCAUUCUGUUGGCUCGGAGGGUGCAAGGGUUGAUGGAGAGGGCGUUGUUGGCGAUUUUGUGCAUGUCGACCCUAUGCGAGGGCAAGAGCCCUCUAUGCUUGUGCGAGACCAGCCCCUUAGGAGUUCGGUGGGUGAGAUUGAGGUAGCGCAAAGGCAUGAGCCCCCUGUGCUGGAGCAACCCCAGAUGGUGUGGUGGUCGGGGUCGAGAAAGUGCAUGAGCGUGGCCAUUUGUGUCCGAGUAGCCCCCCAAUAGUCUAGUAAGCGAGUGUGGGCAUGAACAGAGGCCCUCUGUUGUGGUGCUAGAGCAAUCUCUUGGGGAGGAACAUGAGAAGAUGGUUACUGCUGUAUUGCCCAAGCAGCCUCGCGGGGAUGUGAUGCCAGAAUCUCAACGCAAAGAGGAGCUUGUACCUAUUGACCACGGGGAAACUAAAACCGUUUGGAGAGGUAUCGGCAAUGCAAUGCCAACAUUCCAAGGCUUUAACAGAGCUAAAUGUAUGCUUUGAGACUCAACCUGAACCUGAUCCUGUGGGUGUUGAGACUUCAUCGCAAGAUGAGCCUAGGUCGUAUUCUGAGAAGCUCACAUUGGUGCGUUAGGAGCUCAAGGAUUACUAUGAAAAGCAUGAGCUCGUGCCACAAGGUUACUUUAUUUCCGAUCCGGUCACCAUUCAGGGCCUUUGCAAGCAUGAAAAGUACGUCAUUUCAAACUCUGUGGCGAAAACUACAGCAUUGAUUGUUCAGGAAGGGUGGCUACCAACGAUGACUGACGUCCCACCAGUGGUCAUGGAAGCAUCAUUGAACACUAUAGCGGCAGUGAUGAACUGCAUUAUGGACCAGUCGAUAGAUGAACUCUCAUGGUCUGGUUUUGCCUGUUUGAUGAGAACUUGUGCAUCAUUUGCCUUCUUGGGUUUCAAGAUGGAUUGGAUAAAGGAGAGGGUGGUUCUCUUGGCCCACGUUUUCUAGAAGGCCAGUUACAAGGAGUCCAAGCCUCUGACUGCGAAAGCUUCCGAUGAACUCCACCAGCACCAAAGGGUUGUCCAGAAAAAUCUUGCAAAGGCUAAGGAAAAACAGAAUGCUUUGUUUGACGAGGCUGCCUACCAACAGAAAAUAGUAUGGCAAUUUUAGGAGGAGGAUAGGAAGAUUACAGAAAUCAAAUCGCAAUGGCAGAGUUUGGAGGAGAUCACGCGAAUGAGGGACGAGUGGUAUAAGGACUAGUGUUUGCACUUUGUAGAGACAUUCACUACUUAAUGAAAAGAUGAUGUUCAUAUUCUCUGUAUGUUAUCUGCUGAUUCUUUUUCUAUUGAUUUAUGCGAUAAAAUUCU